ACUUUCCCCAGGAUUUUGAAUUAUUUCCUUUAAUAAGAUCUUGGUCUGAUGUGUAGUGACGCUUCUCGAUACCGACAACGCUGCUUCCUUCCAAUGAAGACGGUGUUAUUGUUCAAGAUAUUGUAUCUCUCUGCAUCGUCGAAGCUGCACACAGCUGAGUUAUUUCCAAUUAUCUAUAUAAAUCACAAUGGAAGAAGAAGAGUGGAGGGAAUGUCAAUGCGGCUUCAUGAGCAUCUAUCGAUGUGCUAAAUGACCGGUGGAGCUGCUCCUCCAUGUUUGGCCACGGAGAGAGACGCGGUGGUAGCACACACCCGCCCACUCUUCCACAAGAGAUCAACUCACCACUGUAUUAAGGUGAAGCACAAACAGCCCCCAUCCUCGCCGUAUUUGGCCCUCUCAAGCAGAUUUUGUUUCUGUACGCCUACAAGAUGUUCGAUGAAAGUUCCAGAAGGCCGGAGGGGAUGAGUGAUCUAUGUAAGCCAUGUGAUUUCAUUCUUCAAAAAAUUAGUUCCAGUCAAUCAUAAGUUAUAACAAGAUGAAUUUCAUGACCUAUAAUCUCCAAAUGGUCUUCACAUGAUGUACUCGAAUGACUUCUUAUAUCUUACCUUCAGACUUUUAUUCAAUCUUGGUAUAUUUACAAUCUCCAGUUUCAUUAGUCGUUUCAGACCAAAAACAAUGUCAUGUUCUUGUUCCUGAUUUAAUAGUCCAUCAGAUUAAUGCUUUCUUUGUAGAUAAUAAAGUACUUCCAGGUGAAGUUGUGUGUUAUAUGUGCUCAUGCUUGCCCAUGCUAAAUUCUCUCCUCUCGGUAAAACUAUGAUUGCUUUAUUCCUAGAUAUCUUGGUUAGCAUCACACCUACUUUCAGAAUUCACGGUGCAUGAUGGAUGCAAGUUUUUUUUUCAUGUAUUCACUGUGUACUCAUUAAUUGCUACUUGAAUAGUCACUGUGCACUUAGAUAACCAUUGAUGGUUGAUCUUGUUAAGUACAUAUGCUACCCCUCGUUUGUUUAUAUUGCUAGCUGAGAUAGGAUUACAGUUUAUUUGCUUAAUUAUUGGCCGCGUUUACUUAGAUAAUUCAUUGAUGGUUGAUCUUGUUAGCUACAGAUGCUACCCCCUGUUCUGAACAAGCUUUAAUUUUGGUGGACUAACCCCAGUUUGACGUAGUUGCUGGUCAUCAACAAAAAGCUGACCACAUAAUCCUGUAUUUUAUUUCAAAGACGCAAAGUAUCAAGCAUCAAGAGAGGUUAAAUCGAAUAGUAUAUUGCCUUAACCAGUGGGCUAAUGCAAACAUAAAAGUGUGGUAGUUAAAUUCAACAUACAAAUUUUUGAAAUCUUAUUUCCCAAUGUUCAACUGCAGACUGGGUUUAGAUUGUUUUCAUGCCAGAAAUGAAACAGGUAAAAUGAUAUAACCUCAGUAGCAUAUGGUCUAAAUUUCUUAAAGAAGGUCGUCUAAUAUUUUACUUAGGUUUGUUCACAGAUCUGUAACUGAUAUGUAUGUAUUUCUUGUGCGUUGACACCCUGUUAAUUUUAUAUCUGUGUGAUAUGAAUUACUAGCAGAGAAAUUUUUCAUGCUUUUAAGUAUUAUCGAUAUUCACUACUUAGGAUGUUAGUUGUGGCUUCAUUUAAAUUUUACCAUUGAGCUUGGAUUGUG